AUGGCUGUCCUGGUUCUGUUCCUCUGCCUGGUGACAUUUCCAAGCUGUGCCCUGUCCCAGGUACAACUGAAGGAGUCAGGACCUGGCCUGGUGCAGUCCUCACAGACACUGUCACUCACCUGCACUGUCUCUGGGUUCUCAUUAACCAGCACUGGUGUACACUGGGUCCGCCAACCUCCAGGAAAGGGUCUGGAGAGGAUGGGAGUAAUAGCAUAUAAUGGAAAUACAUAUUAUAAUUCAGCUCUUCAGUCCCGAAUCAGCAUCACUAGGGACACCUCCAAGAGCCAAGUUUUCUUAAAACUGAACAGUCUGCAAAUUGAGGACACAGCCAUGUAUUACUGUACCAUAGACACAGUGAGAGAACUCCAGUGUGAUCCUGUACAAAAACCUCCACAUGAAGACGCUCAGGACCAGCAGGGGGCAAUGUGGUCCUACAUGGUCUUCCAAGAGCCUUAUGUGGUUGCUUAA